rnacentral:lncRNA from 1 species
UCACCAGUAUGGAGAAACCUGGUUUCAAGUAGCUCUAAGAUGGAGGGCUAUAAAGUUUUCAAAGGGCCUUGGAUUGUGCUUAUGUAUACUUGCUCAAAAAUUAGCAAAAUUUUACCUUAACAGGUUUCAUUAUAGUCUUGGUUAAGGACAAGAAAUGAAGUUGGGAAUUCCCAGAGGUAAGUUCCAUUGCUAAGAUGACUGAAGGGGUAAGAAUUGUUCUAAGUGAUAAUUAACACUUGUUAAAAUCUUACAAAUUUACAUUGUCUUUCAGGAGUGACAUCAGCAAGACGGUGGACUAGGAAGCCUCAGGUCCUUGUUCCCUAGUGAAAAAAAAAAAAAACCUAAUAAAAAACUAUAGGGUGACUAAAGUAAUGUUUUAUGACCUCUGGAAACUACUCAGAUCUAUCACAACCAAGCAAAUACCCAAUCAUGAAAAGUCUACAGUCAAAAUCGUAGGAAAGUUCAUGGCAUUUUUACUUGCUGUUGUUUCAUCUCCUCCACAGCAUUGCACAGCCCAGUUGGGAGUAAACAGCACAAUUCCCAGUACAAUACAUAUGCAAUAUUCUAACCUGUCUAGGAGCCCAUAAAGGGACUGAAUUUUGUCUUGCCUGAUUCAUAGAUCACGUUUGUUUGUCUGUUUGAUUGUUUGUUUCUUUGUUUUUCCCCAAAUGCAGCCACAGCAUGCAGAAGUUCCAGGGCCAGGGAACAGACCCUGGCCACAGCUAUGAUCUGAGCCACAGCAAUGACAAUGCCGUAUCCUUGACCUGCUACACCACCAGAGAACUCCAGAGAUCAUAGUUUUGAUCUCAGGCUGGCAAACACUCUGGAAGGCACCAUGGCACAAGGAAACUGCAGGAGAGAUGUACACCUGUGUGCAGCUGGGAUCAAGAGCUUAUGGGCAAGGAAAUACAGUUAAACAUUCAAAGCCCUGAAAAGCUGGGAUGAGACUCUUUGGGAAAUUCAAACUUUCAAGUAGCCACAUAUUUGAGGGAAAUCAGGAGGUGAAAAAAAGUAUACACAAAGGCCCAAGAAGAAUGCAUUUCUAGGAAAAAAAAAAAUCUGAGACUACCUUAAGCUUUUAUUCUGUGCUAGUCCUAAGGCCCAAGAGCCUGCUAAUUAGUGAGGCUCUUCCACAUCAGCCUGUAAAGACUGGGAGAUCUUUUUUCAAAUCGCCAGUUUUCAACAGAACAUCACGAGACAUACAGAGCAAAGAAAAGAAUGGUCUUUUAAAAAGAACAAAACCCCUAGAAACUCUCUGAUAAAACACAAGCAUCAGCUUUACCAGAAGAUUUUAAAAUUUGCUCAAAGAGCAAAUGUACAACAUGGCCAAAGAACUAAAGUAAAUCAGGAAAAUUAUAUACAAACAAAGUGAGAAUAUCAACAAAGAGAUGGAAAUUAUUAAAAAGAAAAAAAA